AGUGUUGGAGUUGCCUUUCCUCUGGGUUAGUGAAUGAUUCACAUUACACAGAAUCUCUUUCAAGUACAACUUCACAGGAGUGACAGGCUCCCAGGACAAUCUGUUUCAUCGUUUCCAAAAAGAAGCCUCUCAAAUGCUCCGAGGCGGGUAUCUAACACAGCAUUCCUCACGUUUGAAGGACACAGCAUUCAAAGAGCCAUCUUGGAAGCAGAGAGACCAGGCCAUAACCUGCCAGCACUUUGAUCUUGGACUUCCUGGCGUCUAGAACUGUGAGAAAUACAUUUCCGUCCUGUUCUUCUAGUCUCAGGAAUUCCCUUACAGCAACACAAAAUGGACUAAAACACUCUGCUUGCAGUAUGGAGGAUGGGUUCCAACUGAACUACCAGGAUAUCCAGAUGAGACAGACUCGGAAUGGGCUAGGACUAGAGGAAUACAUAGAAGGUUUAAAUUAGUGGGUCAUCGUGACUGAUUAUAUGUGGGGUUGGGAGGGAAAAAGGGAGUUGUGCCAUAUUGCACAUAGACUUGUGGUAUGGGGGUCUGGAAAAACACCUGAGAUUGGUAAUUCAAGACGAGUGUUUUGAGGUGUGUGAGUCUGUCUGUAAGGAAAGUGUAUGUCCAACAUACAAAUUAUAUUGUAGAAGCCAAAGAAAGAAGCAUUACAGAAAGAAGCAACUAUUUAACCUACUCUCAAAAGGAUCAACAAAGCCCAGAAGACUUGAUCAUGUUCACAGGCAGAGAAGAAAGAUCAGCAAAAAGUAAAAAGAGACAAAAGGAAAACCAGGAGAAUUGUUAGAGAAAAUUAUGACAAGGGGACAAGUCUGAAACUCCUGUGGAGGAUGGUCCCAGCUGCUACAAGGGGAGUGUAAAAGGAGCUGAGAAAAUACAACCUCAUGUAAACAACAAAAUUACAUCAUGUACCACAUGUUUAUUUUUAAGCGCAUCACUAAAGCUCUCCUUUUAUAAUGUAAAUGAAACAAAAAAAUGUUUAAUGUAAUAAAAUAUACAUAAAAUGUACCACCUUGACCAUUUUUAAAUGUAUAGUUUAGUAGUGAAAUACAUUCACAUUGUUGUGCAGCCAGUCUCCAGAACUCUUUUCAUCUUGCAGAACUGAAAGUCUGUACUCAUUAACAACCACUCCAUCUCCCAGACCCCUGAAGACCACCAUUCUACUUUGCUCCUAUAAAUCUGACCACUCUAGGUACCUAAUAAAUGGAAUCAUAUGGUA